GGAAAUCUGCCAUGGGACACUUCUUAUGGUCUUAACUAGGCCUCGUGGAUUGUUCUGCUAGCUAGUAUGAGAAGUUUGGUUGCAAUUACCUCUGGCUUAUGGUAAUAUACAGUUGAUCAAUGUACGUGUAAUGGUUCUUAGAUUAAUUUACUAUUGUUAUGAAAUCGUUUUUUACAUCUCGCCCUGACGGCUUCAAUUUUAUUAAAUGUAGAUUUUAAGUACUCGAUCUGCUAUGUAGAUUUUCUUUUACCAUGCACAACUAUUCCUUCAAUGAUACCUGUUCUUUUGACAUGCAUAUAUGGAAACAUUUUCUAUAGAGAAAAUACACAUUUAGUACUAAUUUAAACCAUUCAUUUCUCAUUUUAAUAUAAGGUAACUUUUUUUAUGCCGAAAUACACAAAUCUUUACUAAAGUCUUAACAAACUAUAUUAUUUUAAGACUAUUUUGCCCUCACCCCUUAAACAUGCAUAGAGAGAGAGAGAGAGAAAAUAGAAGAGAGAGAAUACUUGGUCGGAAUCUCACCGGACUCCGGUCACGGUCGCCGGAUUCCGGUCAUCGGUGACUCGGUUACUAACCCUGAAUAACUUGGUUACUGACCCCCAAUAAUCGGGUUACUACUCCCAAUAACUUGGUUACUAACCCUCAAUAAUCAGUUACUGACCCUCAAUAAUCGGGUUACUGACCCCCAAUAAUGAGUUACAAACCCCAUUAAUUAGGUUACUACCUUCAAUAACUUGGUUACUGACCUUCAAUAACUUGGUUACUGACCCACAGUAAUCAGUUACUGGCCCCCAUAAUCGGGUAACUUGGUAAUAAAUUACUGACCCACAGUAAUCAAUUACUGACCCAGUAACCAAGUUACUGACCCCUAAUAACUCAACAAUUCACACCAAAACUCAACAGUAAUCAAUUGCAAAACUUCAGGUCAAGCAAUUUACACCAAAACUCAACAAAACUUACUGUAUGAUAUAAAGCACAAUACACAAGCACAGUACACGAUUGAAAUUGUCAAGGUUCUCGAGCCUCCCCCUCCGAUUUCACCUGCACCGAAACCAACGCGCCAGUCUUCGUCCACUUGGAUUUGAACACCAAGGAGACCUCUACAACCUAGUCUUUCUCAGACCUUCAACCAUGUGGACGAAGCCAAAGCCGACGAAGUUGAUGAAGUUGGAGCCGACGAAGUUGAUGAAGCCAGAUCCGAAGAGCAGAGCCUAGUCGUCGGUGGACCAAAUCCAAUGGGAUGGUCGGAUUUGAUUGUUGUGACAAGAACAGAAGGUGAUGGUGGCCAGAUCGGGCGGUGACGAACCGACGUGAGAGAUCUAGCCUCGUCGGUGUCGAGGCCUUGUCAGUUGUCAGUACUAGUGCUUCACGUCGCCGGUGCUUCAGAUCGUAAGUGCUUUGUCGACGAGGGGAUUCACGGUUGAGAGAGAGAGAGAGAGUUUUCUGACAGGAGACGAGAGAGAAUGGUAGAUUAAAAGAGUGUGGGUAAUAUUGUCUUUUUGAUCAAAAUAAUUGAAAUGGGCUGCUCAUAUCUGUUUUCAUUGGAAUGGGCUUUAAAAACCUUGUUUUUGUGCAAAUGGCAUUAUCCCUUUUCAAUAUCAAGUAAAAAGAAAACCAAUUAAAGUGUGAAAAAUAUUGAAGCUCAAUACCUUCAUUGAAAUUAAGGCCUCGUUUGGUAACAUGGAAAAGAAAUUUGUUCCUUUGUAUUUCCAUGGGAAAGUAAAAUAAGAUUCCCAUUAGUUUUCCUUUCCAUUGUUUUGGGAUCGUUAAGAAAUUAAUGAGAAAACAUGAGUUUGUUUCCAUUUUGAUGUUUGGUUUGUGCAAGGAAAUAAGGAAACUAAAUCAUUUUGAAAUCUCAUUUAUGUCCUCAUAUAUUAAAAUAUAUAGUUGACAAGUUUCAUAGAUAAAAUUGUUAAUAAAAAUUUUCAACAAUGAUAUAAAUGUAUUUAUGCUAUGUAAUUAAUACACAUUUAAUGUAAUAUCUCACAUCGGCCAAACGGAGAGGGGUUAUGUGCUGUAUAUGUACAUGUCCACCUCCAAUCUAACACGAGGCUUUUUGGUGGCUCAGCGGCUUCGGAGGGGAUGUGUACUCCGAGGUUAAGCAUGCUGAUGCUAGAACAAUCCCAGGAUGGGUGACCUACUGGGAAGCUGCUCCUGAGCUACCGGAAACAAAACCGUGAGAGCCGGUGGGCCCAAAGCGGACAAUAUCGUGUUACGGCGGAAUGGGUCCUGCUGGGAUGUGACAAAUGGUAUCAGAGCCACUCUGCCGUGUGGUGUGAGUGUGCCGACGAGGGCGUCGGACUCCCAAGGGGGGUGGAUUGUAAUAUCCCACAUCGGCCAAACGGAGAGGGGUUAUGUGUUGUAUAUGUACAUGCCCACCUCCAAUCUAACACGAGGCCUUUUGGUGGCUCAGCGGCUUCGGAGGGGAUGGGUACUCCGAUGUUAAGCAUGUUGAUGCUAGAGCAAUCCCAGGAUGGGUGACCUACUGGGAAACUGCUCCUGAGCUGCCGGAAACAAAACCGUGAGGGCUGAUAGGCCCAAAGCGGACAAUAUCAUGUUACGGCGGAAUGAGUCUUGGGGUGUGACAUUUAAUGUUGGGAAAAUAGAAGGGAAAGUGAAUCAUUUGGAGAAUGGAAGGAUUUAAUUUCCCUCAUAUUUUCAUGUCUUAAAGAAAAGUUGUUCAUUUUCUUGUGCACACCAAACAUAGGAAAAUAACAACUUUCUUUUUACAAGUCUUUAAUUCUAUGAAACAAACGAGACCUAAAAGUAACUAAGUGCAAUACGUUCUGCAUGUUCUAUAGCUUCCACUAUUACUAAUCCAAAUUGGUUAUUGUUCAUGUAUUAUAUAUACAACCUGGACAAAGUUGAUAGAGGAUUCCUUUUUCAACUAGGUUUUCACAAUACCUCAAACAACAUUUGUUCCAUAACAUUUAGUCUACAGUAAAGAGAGUUACAUAACCCUAAAUAAACAGAUCAAUGGAAGCUCUAACCCUGUCAAAGAUAUCAAAAUGUUGGCUGCGAACUUUGAGAGCAUUUCGUUCACUCACAUUCUCAAAGAGGCCAACUUUGUGGCUGAUAGACUUGCAAACCUUGGUCACGAUACUUCCAAUUGUGUAAUUU
rnacentral:lncRNA from 1 species